GUGAGGAAUAUUGGUCAAUGGGCGGGAGCCUGAACCAGCCAAGUCGCGUGAAGGAAGAAGGAUCUAUGGUUCGUAAACUUCUUUUGCAGGGGAAUGAAGUGCGGGACGUGUCCUGUUUUGUAUGUACCCUGAGAAUAAGGAUCGGCUAACUCCGUGCCAGCAGCCGCGGUAAUACGGAGGAUCCGAGCGUUAUCCGGAUUUAUUGGGUGUAAAGGGUGCGGAGGUGGUUUGAUAAGUCAGCGGUGAAAGUUUGCAGCUUAACUGUAAAAAUGCCGUUGAUACUGUCGGACUUGAGUGUAAAUGAGGUAGGCGGAAUGCGUGGUGUAGCGGUGAAAUGCAUAGAUAUCACGCAGAACUCCGAUUGCGAAGGCAGCUUACUAAGCUACAACUGACACUGAAGCACGAAAGCGUGGGGAUCAAACAGGAUUAGAUACCCCUGUAGUCC
rnacentral:rRNA from 1 species